rnacentral:rRNA from 1 species
GGUUGAUCCUGCCAGUAUUCAUAUGCUUGUCUCAAAGAUUAAGCCAUGCAUGUCUUAGAAUAAAUAAAUUUAUAUUGUGAAACUGCGAUUGGCUCAUUAAAUCAGUUAUGAUCUACGUGACAUAUUUCUUUACUACUUGGAUAACCGUGGUAAUUCUAGAGCUAGUACAUGCAAAAAAAGCCCUGACUUCGGAAGGGGUGCACUUAUUAGAUAAAGCCAACGCUGAGUAAAACCAGUUUUCCUUGGUGAUUCAUAAUAAUUUAGCGGAUUGCACGGCCUUGUGCUGGCGACGG